GGAGCUGAAUGUUAUCUCGGGCCAGCGGCCGAAGUUCCCCUCCUGUUAGCGUGGCCUCGGAACUGGCUCCACAGGGCUUGUUCAUUUCAGGCCAGUGAGCCUGGAGCAGAUGUUCACACAAUGCCUUGAGGACAGAGAGCCCUCCUGAGAGCCACCAGGGAGAGAUGACUCUUCUUCCUCAAUGUUGUGAGGCUGGAACUGCUACUAGCUUGGAGACCAAGCUCCAGCAUCAGGCAUGUCCUGAAGCCCACCACACCUUUGGACUGCCAGCUACGGGAGUUAAUAUGCAUCCUUUGAAACUCGAAGAACUCCCGAGGGACUCUGGACAGGCCAUCGUCCGUGUAUUUCCUUGAAAUCAAGUGGAAUGGAUUUCCAUCUCACAUAACACUUGACCAUGUCUUUCCUUCAGAAGAUGGCCUCUGAAGUGUUCAGGAGUGAAGAGUGUCUGAUGCCUGCAACUACUUCCAGAUGGUUCUUCAG